rnacentral:rRNA from 1 species
CUACGGAGGGUGCAAGCGUUACUCGGAAUCACUGGGCGUAAAGGAUGCGUAGGCUGGAUGUCAAGUUGGAAGUGAAAUCCUAUGGCUUAACCAUAGAACUGCUUCCAAAACUGGCAACCUAGAGUGAGGGAGAGGCAGAUGGAAUUAGUGGUGUAGGGGUAAAAUCCGUAGAUAUCACUAGGAAUACCGAUUGCGAAGGCGAUCUGCUAGAACUCUACUGACGCUAAGGCAUGAAAGCGUGGGGAGCAAACAGGAUUAGAUACCCCAGUAGUCC